rnacentral:rRNA from 1 species
UACGUAGGGCGCAAGCGUUGUCCGGAAUUAUUGGGCGUAAAGAGCUCGUAGGCGGUUUGUCGCGUCUGCUGUGAAAGCCCUGGGCUUAACCUGGGAAUUGCAGUCGAUACUACUCAGCUAGAGUAUGGGAGAGGGUAGUGGAACUCCCGGUGUAGCGGUGAAAUGCGUAGAUAUCGGGAGGAACAUCAGUGGCGAAGGCGGCUACCUGGCCCAAUACUGACACUCAGGUGCGACAGCGUGGGGAGCAAACAGG